UUUAUGGAGAGUUUGAUCCUGGCUCAGGAUGAACGCUGGCGGCGUGCCUAAUACAUGCAAGUCGAGCGAACAGAUAAGGAGCUUGCUCCUUUGACGUUAGCGGCGGACGGGUGAGUAACACGUGGAUAACCUACCUAUAAGACUGGGAUAACUUCGGGAAACCGGAGCUAAUACCGGAUAACAUAUUGAACCGCAUGGUUCUAUAGUGAAAGGCGGCUUUGCU
rnacentral:rRNA from 1 species